UACGGGGGGGGUAAGCGUUGUUCGGAAUUACUGGGCGUAAAGGGCUCGUAGGCGGCCAACUAAGUCAUACGUGAAAUCCCUCAGCUUAACUGGGGAACUGCGUGUGAUACUGGAUGGCUUGGAUUUGGGAGAGGGAUGCGGAAUUCCAGGUGUAGCGGUGAAAUGCGUAGAUAUCUGGAGGAACACCGGUGGCGAAGGCGGCAUCCUGGACCAACACUGACACUGAUGAGCGAAAGCCAGGGGAGCAAACGGG
rnacentral:rRNA from 1 species